AUGAACGCUGGCGGCAGGCGUAACACAUGCAAGUCGAACGGUAACAGGAAGCAAGCUUGCUUCUUUGCUGUACGAGUGGCGGACGGGUGAGUAAUGUCUGGGAAACUGCCUGAUGGAGGGGGAUAACUACUGGAAACGGUAGCUAAUACCGCAUAACGUCGCAAGACCAAAGAGGGGGACCUUCGGGCCUCUUGCCAUCGGAUGUGCCCAGAUGGGAUUAGCUAGUAGGUGGGGUAACGGCUCACCUAGGCGACGAUCCCUAGCUGGUCUGAGAGGAUGACCAGCCACACUGGAACUGAGACACGGUCCAGACUCCUACGGGAGGCAGCAGUGGGGAAUAUUGCACAAUGGGCGCAAGCCUGAUGCAGCCAUGCCGCGUGUAUGAAGAAGGCCUUCGGGUUGUAAAGUACUUUCAGCGGGGAGGAAGGGAGUAAAGUUAAUACCUUUGCUCAUUGACGUUACCCGCAGAAGAAGCACCGGCUAACUCCGUGCCAGCAGCCGCGGUAAUACGGAGGGUGCAAGCGUUAAUCGGAAUUACUGGGCGUAAAGCGCACGCAGGCGGUUUGUUAAGUCAGAUGUGAAAUCCCCGGGCUCAACCUGGGAACUGCAUCUGAUACUGGCAAGCUUGAGUCUCGUAGAGGGGGGUAGAAUUCCAGGUGUAGCGGUGAAAUGCGUAGAGAUCUGGAGGAAUACCGGUGGCGAAGGCGGCCCCCUGGACGAAGACUGACGCUCAGGUGCGAAAGCGUGGGGGAGCAAACAGGAUUAGAUACCCUGGUAGUCCACGCCGUAAACGAUGUCGACUUGGAGGUUGUGCCCUUGAGGCGUGGCUUCCGGAGCUAACGCGUUAAGUCGACCGCCUGGGGAGUACGGCCGCAAGGUUAAAACUCAAAUGAAUUGACGGGGGCCCGCACAAGCGGUGGAGCAUGUGGUUUAAUUCGAUGCAACGCGAAGAACCUUACCUGGUCUUGACAUCCACGGAAGUUUUCAGAGAUGAGAAUGUGCCUUCGGGAACCGUGAGACAGGUGCUGCAUGGCUGUCGUCAGCUCGUGUUGUGAAAUGUUGGGUUAAGUCCCGCAACGAGCGCAACCCUUAUCCUUUGUUGCCAGCGGUCCGGCCGGGAACUCAAAGGAGACUGCCAGUGAUAAACUGGAGGAAGGUGGGGAUGACGUCAAGUCAUCAUGGCCCUUACGACCAGGGCUACACACGUGCUACAAUGGCGCAUACAAAGAGAAGCGACCUCGCGAGAGCAAGCGGACCUCAUAAAGUGCGUCGUAGUCCGGAUUGGAGUCUGCAACUCGACUCCAUGAAGUCGGAAUCGCUAGUAAUCGUGGAUCAGAAUGCCACGGUGAAUACGUUCCCGGGCCUUGUACACACCGCCCGUCACACCAUGGGAGUGGGUUGCAAAAGAAGUAGGUAGCUUAACCUUCGGGAGGGCGCUUACCACUUUGUGAUUCAUGACUGGGGUGAAG
rnacentral:rRNA from 1 species